rnacentral:rRNA from 1 species
AGUGACAAGAAAUAACAAUACAGGGCCUAACGGUCUUGUAAUUGGAAUGAGUGAAGUAUAAACCCCUUUACRAGUAUCAAUUGGAGGGCAAGUCUGGUGCCAGCAGCCGCGGUAAUUCCAGCUCCAAUAGCGUAUAUUAAAGUUGUUGCAGUUAAAAAGCUCGUAGUUGGAUUUCUGUUAAUUUUUAUAUAUAAUACUACGGUAUUUAUAUAACAUUAACAUAAUUCGCAUUACUUUAUGUAUGCGAAACUUUACUUUGAGAAAAUUAGAGUGCUUAAAGCAGG